rnacentral:lncRNA from 1 species
CACCCUUAAAACAGGAAGCUCUCCAUACAUUUGGCAGCAGAUCUAGAUUUGAACCACAUGGAAGCUGACAUCUCAGAUUCAUGAAGUAUUCAGAAGCCAGAAAAGUCCUUGCUGUAUAAUUACUGAUCUUAACCUGCAAGUACAGCUUCAUGCCUGUGCAACAGAGGAAGCCUGACAGCUCCGGAUCCAGCUGUAAUGCAAUGCACCAGGCGAGCUCACGCCAUGCAGCAGGCCAUAAAGCUUAGGCACGGGGCUGUAAGGGUGCUUGGAAAUGAGCUCCGUUGCACCUUCAAGAUCACAACACUGGCAGCAUCCUUCUCACAGUGCAUCUAUGCUGUCCCUCUUCUGCCUGCCCUACGUGACGAAGCAUUCAUCUAAGCUUAAGCAGUGACUGCAGAUCCUACAGGCAGAACUCUGUGCCUGGCUCAGGCAAUUUCUUACAACUCCAGCCAUCUUCAGCAGCCAAUAGCAGAUGAUUUUCUCAAGCUGAUAACUCAAGAUAUUGUGGCGUCGUAUAAAACACCCUUUUUGGCCUGAAUCUGGACUCAGACUCCCAACGCAACACAAGACCAAAACCCUACCUGAAGGAAUUUAUCCAGCUCUCAGGUCACAUACUUGAAACAUAAUCCUCGACUGCAAAAUUUACAAAUAUUUUAACUAGCCAUUGGAACUGAAAUUGCACACCCAGUAGAUCGC